rnacentral:sRNA from 1 species
AAGCACACACUCAUGAGCAUGCAUGCACACAUACAUGCAUACACACACCUGCACAGAGCAGUGCAGACAGCUAAGGAGAGACCACAGGAUUAACCAACUAUACACGGACAGCCAAACAGGCAAUUUGCCUGGCGGAUGAUGGUCUGUAUCUGAGACCCAGUGACCAUUCUGCCCAUCCACCCUGGGGAGACUGAGGCUCUCAGCCACUGUGUGACCAGGCCAAGGUCACACAGCUGGUGAGGGGGCUAACAGGACUGCCAAGGCCUCUCUCUACCAGCCGGGAACAGGGAGGAAGAACAGAGAGAGGGCCCAGGCAGGGGGAAGCGGGUGAACAAACCGGAAACAGGAGGCGAGUUUUGGAGGCUUGCCUGGCUCAGAGAAAGGGCCUCCCUGGAAGUCAGAGCUGCCGCCCCCAUCUCUGCUGCUGGGGGAGCCUUGGAAAUCGCCUAAGCCGACAUCUGAUGGCCCGGAUUUGUUCUUAAGCUCUUUUUACCCACUGGACCAUAAUCAACUGCUCAGGGCCUCUCCACAAAUGCCUCCCCCAGAGUUCCCAAAAGGCAGAAAGCUUUCAAAGCUGCAGUUCAAACUUCAGUGACUGCAUGCAGAGAGACCAGGCAUGGCUGGCAGACCAGGGAGAGGGCAGUCUUCCCCCUCCCCAUACCGAUCCACCCAGAAGAAAGAAACCAGUGCGAGAGGCAGAACCAACUCCAAGCACAAGGAGCUGUCCUGGGACCAUCAACUAUACCUGCUCUUGUCAUUAGAGUGGCUCCAGAGUGACUCAAGCGGCCAUCUGGCCUCUUGGAUGGGGCACCUCAGUGGUCCUGACUGCGGGCCACCACCUGCCCACCUUCACCUGCAGCACUGUCCACAGACCUCAGAGGCUCGCUAAGCCCUCCAAGGCCUGGCCUUGAGGAGGACCACAGGUGCAGGAGGAUUACAGGUGCAGGAGGAUAAUGGUUGCAGGAGGACCAGACACUGGAGGACCACAGGUGGAGGAGGACCACAGGUGGAGGAGGAUCACAGGUGCAGGAGGAUAAUGGGUGCAGGAGGACCAGACACUGGAGGACCACAGGUGGAGGAGGACCCAGGUGGAGGAGGAUCACAGGUGCAGGAGGAUAAUGGGUGCAGGAGGAUCAGACACUGGAGGACCACAGGUGGAGGAGGACCCAGGUGGAGGAGGAUCACAGGUGCAGGAGGAUAAUGGGUGCAGGAGGAUCAGACACUGGAGGACCACAGGCACUGGAGGAUCACAAAUGCAGGAGGACCACAGAUACCGGAGGACCAUAGGCUCAAGAAGACCACAAGUACAUUCAAAAUAAAUGGACGGCUGCUUUUUCUGACA